CCCAAACACCAUUUUCAUUUGUUUUUCUUUCUCCUCUUCUGAUAUAAACUUUUUCCUUCUCUCUCUAUCUGUUCUCUUUCUCUUUUUCUCUCUUUUUCUCUGAAGCCCUAAAACGCCGCCACCCUUUCUGCCUCUAUUAUUGGUGACCACCACCCUCCGAUGAAAAAAUCAAAGCCAUUUUCGUACUAUCCGUCUCAUGGCCUUCCUAAUGAACUGGAUAUAAUUUUGUUUCGAACAACCUCGCCGUCGGAUACUGUUACUCGCCGUCGACCAGUUGGUUCAUCAAACCCCGACCCAACGUCACGCUUUUCACUCAAAACAUCAAUCUUCUGAUUUUUUUUGUUAUUGUUUCUUUUUUUCAGGCAGCUUAAGAGAAAACUGAAGACUCAAACUUCUUGCUGAAAGGGGAAAUUCUAUAAAAGCAACAACUAUAUUGGAAAUUACCAGACUUGGUCAAACCUGCAGUUCGAGGCAACAACUCAGUUUCGAAGUUGCUUUCAAGUGAAUGUAGCCCACAGAUUGAGGAGGUUAUACAAAUUGGUGUGGUUCCGUGAUUUGUUGAGUUUUUAAUGAGGGAGGAUUUUCCACAGCUACGGGUUGUUAUCUCCACUGGCUUAUUGAAUGUAAUGAAUGUUUACUUCAUGUUCAAUGUGUUGACUUUGUUAAUAUUAUCAAUUGGUAUAAGUUAUAAAAAAUGAUUUUCACUAUUUGGAUAUGGCACCUCUUCCAUUCAAAGCAAAGCGUUGCAUCCUCUGUUUUGUAGAGCUCAAAAAAGUCAAAUGUUUCCUACUUUAUUUUAUGAGGUACAUGUUUAAGUUUAUCUGUUUGUCUUUUACUAAGAAAAGUAUUUUUAUUUUGUUUUAGUUGAUUCUAGUGGUGCAAAAUGAGUAAUGCUAAUUACUUCUUAUUUUACAAAUGGUUUGCUAAGACUUGAAGUUCUGCACAAUUUUGCCAAGACUUUGUUCUGUUUUGAUUCUGCCAAGUUCUUAGUGUUGUUGGUGUUUCUUAAUAUGUUGUUUUGAUUCUGCCACGUUCUUAGUGUUGUUGGUGUUUCUUAAUAUGUUGUUGUUAUUAUGAUUUGUGUUCUUGGUUUGAUUAUGUUUUAGUGAUUCAACAACAUUUCUUGUGAUUUCAUGUCUUGACUUUCAUUUCAUGUUGUUUGUUCAAUCAUUCUUACUAUUCUUAUUUUUUUAUGAUCUUUGUUUGAGUUCAUUGUUUGAAAUAUUUGAAAAAUCAAUGAAACUUCCAGUGACUGCAACCUCAUAUUUACAUGUUUUAUUUUCACUAUCAUGCAAUUGAUACAUUGAAAAUAAUUAAACAAAAUUUGAUUGGUAUUAAUGGACACUUGCAGUAUCUUACAAAAUUUGAUUGGUAUUAAUGGACACUUGCAGUAUCUAAUGAAUAUGAGUUUGGCUGGAACUUCACCAUCUAACUUCAGUACUAAUGUUAAUAUUAACCUUGCUCCUAGAUUCAAAGAGAGUUUCAUAUAUCUCAAUCUGGCAGUUCCAUUUGAAGAAGGAGAUGAUUUUAGUGUUGUUUCAUGAGUCUAAUUAUGUAUCUAUUUGAUAUUGGUUAAUUGGGUAAAGUGCUUAGUUUUAUUUUAAAGUAUGGACAAUAUUUCACUAUGUUUAAUUGUGUAAGUGCUUAGUUUUAUUUUAAAGUAUGGACAACAUUUCAUUUUGUUCAAUUGAAUUGAUAGAUUAUUCUACAAUAAUAUAUGAGUAUUAGUUAUAAUUUUCGUGAAAAACGGCCUGCAAUUAUAUUUGAAUUGGUACUAAAAUUGAGAAUUGGUUUUCUGUUUCUUCUUUUGUGUCUACAUAUUUGUAAUUAUUAAUAUUAAUAAUAUAGGGUAGUAAUAAAAAUAUAUAUGAUGUUAAUGUUCCUAAUUUUUGGAUAAAAGACAAAAUUAUCAAAGAAAGUUAAUGCAACAAGAUUCACUAUAAAAGUAUGUGUGAAGAUUAAAAAUAUAUUUAUCUCACGUGUCAUUAAUCGACGAUAUUUAUUUUAGUUUAAUAAAUUAUUAUUUUAAUUUAAAAGAUAAAAUCUUUAUUUUUAUAUAUUAAUUUUUUUUCUCCCUCUCACAAUUAUAUUUUUUUCUUUUUAUGUUAUGACAUUAAAACUUAUUCAUGUGUUAUCACAUUAACAAAUAUUUUGUUAUUUUUUAUUUCAUAAUUAUUAUUUAAAAAUUCUAAAUUAUUAUAUUUUUUUUAAUUAUUUAUACUAUAUCAUAAUUAAAUUACCCGUGCGGGAGCACGGGUCUCUUACUAGUUAUAUAAUAGUAAAAAGAGAGAUGAGAUGUAUCAAAGAUACUCUGUAAUGUAGUCAAAUCAUUAGCCAUCACUACCUUUUCUGAUGCAGCAAUAUGAGUAUAUUGUAGCUAUAUCCCAUAAUCUAAUGAUGCGUGCCAAAACUAAGUACACGGAGCUAGACAUAUUUUUUUAAGGAAAAAAGUGACAGGUAAGACCCUUAUUGUGUAACAUAUACCUACUACAUAUCAAUAUGUUGUUCUCUCAACUAAGCCUCACUCACCGUUUUAGGUUUCUAGCUCUAAGAGUCAAGCUUAGAAUGGUGGCCAAAAGUUUAAUCUCAUAGAUAAAUUGCCAUGGGUUUGAAGGGGAUCUAUUAGAGUAAAUGUUAGUACCACGGUUUUAGGAUUGACACAACUUUGUUAAAAUAUGGUUUACUACAAAGAUGUUAUGGAAGAUGUUCUAACAUGUUGCUCAGGAAAGAUGUCCUGGCAUAUGUUUUAACAUGUUAUGCCAGAGCAUUAGCACAUGCUAGCUGUUUUUAAAUUUUGACAAAUUUAAUUUGAUUUUGUGAUGUUUAUUUUGGAUAU